CUUUGGAAUGUAAACACUCCAGGAGAUAACAGCCCACAAUUGCCUAAGACUAAGCUUGGCUAACUCAAUCAGUAAAGCCUGGGGUUAAAGAAAAAUAAAGGGGAAAGUAUUCUGUUUUAAAAGGCAAGCUGUUGGAAAGGCUGUCUUUCCAAAAUGUAAUUCACAGCUUCUUUAUCUAGGGCAAAUAUAAAUCUUAAAAGUCUUCUCCACAAAAAUUAAUAAAAAAAACCACUUUUAUGCAGGUAAAUUUAUUCCAUCUGCUAGAAACACAGCUAUUUAUAAACUGGACACAAUUGGAAACAUUGGUUACAUUACCAAGGCUUUGACUGGAAUUUCAUAUUUGAGAGAGACAUGCAUAAACUUAGAUAUGACCGAACAGCUUUAAAGAACUAAGAUUGAUUCUAUGGAGCCGAUAAAACCCUUUGGAAAAGCAGCCUGGUGCCUUACUCACAGGGUUCCAAAUAACCUAACCAGGUAUGACACUUGAAAUGGAUGCUGCCAAGCAGUGUGAUUAGUGAGACGGAUCUGUCUUACCCCAGAGGGAUGCAGGUGCUGGGGAUCUAUGCUCACUUUUCUAGAAAACGAGAAGAAACAACUACUCCAUUUGGAAACCUCAAGACUGUUUUUGAAGUUUGUGGACACACUUUGAGAGUCCACUGCAUGUCCAGAUGGUAUUCUCGAUGCAAGGACUCAGCUGUGUAGACCACAUGGAUCUUGGAACUUCACUGGGAUUGCUGCAGAAGGAAAAUAGGACCAAAGGGCCCAGCGCUGGCAAUGGAAAGCUUCAGCUUAGAAUCGACGUUCAUCAUUUCUUUUCACAACCUAUGGGACAGAACUGGUCACAUGGUCUUGGCUAACUACAAAUGGAGCAGGAACUGGCUGUGGUCAGCGCCAGAAGUUUCUACCACAGGUUUCUGACACAUGAUUGUUUUGAGGAGAAAGGUAAAGGAUGAAGUUUGGCAUUUUUCUUUCCUUUCCUAAAGAGCAACUUACUACAGUAAAGGGCACAAAUCUUGAUUGUACAGUGUGAUGAAGUUUUGCAAGUGUACAUACUCAUGUCACCAGCACCUAGAUCAAGAAAUAGAACACUCACAGCUCCUCAGAGGGCAGCCUGUGGUCUGCUCCCAGGCAAUUGUCCCCAAAUCUGUACUCUGACCUCUAACUCUAUAGGCCAGUUUUGCUUGGUUUUGUAUUUUACAUAAUGGAAUCCAUAGCCACGUGCCCUUUUGUGUGGAUGAAAAUUCAACAUUAUGCCUGUGAGAUUCACCCACGUUGUUGCAAAGAUUAGUAGUCUGUCCUUUGUUGCUGUGCGAUAUACCAUUGCCUUCUUAAAACGCCACCGUGUAAUUGAUCUUUCCAUUAUUUCAAGACAUUUGUGUUGUUUUCUGGUUGGGGCUAAAAAAACAAAGUUGCUGUGGGUUUGCUUAACUGUGAAUCUGGGGGACACGAGCAUGCAUUUCUGUGGAUUAUACACCAGGGGCGGAGUUGUUGGUUCAAACGAUCAGUGUUUGCCCUUAUUAGAUGCCUCCUCGUGGCCUAUGAAGUGGUUGUGCCAGUUUUGCUCCUGUCACCAGUGAGUGAGUUCCACUUGCUUCACAUUCUUAGCAACAUUUGAUGUUAUUUUAGUCACUCUGG
ensembl:lncRNA